AUAGCUUAGUUGGCUAGAGCGUGUGGCUUGUAAACACUAGGCCGAAGGUUCAAACCCUCCU
rnacentral:tRNA from 1 species